GGGGUGUUGUGGUGUUUUGUUUUGUUUGUACAGCACUUAACACAAUCCAAGACCUGCUCGACUAUGGCCUCUGAGAGCUGUAGUUACAUAAAUAUUAAAUAACAAUGUUGUUAGUAUUUGGUGCGAUGAAUGUCCUAGUUAGUAUAAAAAAUAUAGUCUGCACAUUGUAGUAGUAACUUCAUUAGGUGCCUAACCAUCAUAGAUGCUCCUGGAUUCCUUACAUAAAAGAUUAGAACAGGUAAAAAUAUUUAACUUCUGGCAAAAUCAUAACACUUUUUUGGCACGAGCCAUUGAUAUGCAUCUUCUGAAAUAAAAUAAUUACUUUAAUCUGAUUUAAAUGGACCUGAUUUCAUUGCUCUCCAGAGAUCAACAAUAAAGGUAUUCUACAGAAGCAGAGAGAACCUGUACCACUUCUACCUCCACGUGCUGCAGCCUCCAAAAACCCUAUAUUCUCUGACUUCAGAGAGCAAGUUGCUUUGCGGGGAAGCUAAAUGCUCAGUAAGAUAUGCAUUAGUUUGCAGCACCUUUUUAAGGUCCUAAGUGCAGACCUCUUAUUGGCUCUCAUGCUCUUAGUGCAUCACAUAUGCUGUUAGUGACUUUGCACUUAUCAGUGAAAAUCACUAGGGAAUGAUGCUUAGAGUACAGGAGCCUGACUGUGUGUUCUCAAGUAUUAUGCAAUUUUCUAAAGUGUUUAAUACUUGUAAUACAUUUGUCUCUCCUCUUAAAAAUAAUUAAAAACCCUUUGGAAACCUCACAGAAGCAGAGAAGCUAUCCUACAUUUUAUAGGCAGCAUCCAGAAUUGUCCACUGGUAGGUGUGGCAUCACAUGCAAUUGGAAUCAGUGAUUCACAGAAUGUCCGCACGUCAGGGCCUGUAUUAAAACAACAACAAAAGAUUUCUCCUUGCUUCUUUACAAGUCACAAUGAGGAAAAAAGUUAGACUCCUUUGAUGUGAAAAAAGCAAUAUAUCACUUCUCUGAAAGAACAUUUCUCAGUCUCUCAUGUGAAAAAGGAUUAACACCUCCAACAAAGGUCCUCUAGAUCACAGAACUAAGCAGCAAUACUGAACAGUAUUCCUGAGGAGUGGAAAAACUGUAUUUAAGCAAGAGAUUGUUUGAACUGGCAAACAGAAGCUUUUUAAUAGCUGAAGAUCUAAGAUAAAGGAUUAAACCUUUCUGAAGUAUCUACACUUAAACUACUCUAAAGACAAGGAAGCGAGUUUAAAUUCAUGAAAGACCAUCUUUGUUUUCCUAAAUGAACAGUGUUCUUUAGUGUCAAAAUAGAAUCUAUUCACUGCAUUGUGAACUAUAUACACUUUAUUGCAAUACCAUAUAUCUAUUAGUGUGGUCUUGUUUAGGGUUUACUUUAUUGAAUUCUGAUUUGAUUUGAGCAGCUGCUGUGGACACAAUAUUUUUGUCCACAUGUAAACUGAUCAUUAAGAUAUUUUAAUGUGGACAAAAUAAAGAAAUAUGCUGCUUA